CUCUUUGGUUAUCUAGCUGUAUGAGUAGAAUCAGGCUUCAUAAAGCUAGGUUACCAAAGUU
rfam:Strigamia maritima strain Brora ctg7180001225394, whole genome shotgun sequence.